rnacentral:rRNA from 1 species
UACGAAGGGGGCUAGCGUUGCUCGGAAUCACUGGGCGUAAAGCGCACGUAGGCGGACUCUUAAGUCGGUGGUGAAAUCCUGGAGCUCAACUCCAGAACUGCCUUCGAUACUGAGAGUCUCGAGUCCGAGAGAGGUGAGUGGAACUGCGAGUGUAGAGGUGAAAUUCGUAGAUAUUCGCAAGAACACCAGUGGCGAAGGCGACUCACUGGACAUGGUAUUGACGCUGAGGUGCGAAAGCGUGGGGAGCAACAGG